UACGGGGGGGGCAAGCGUUGUUCGGAAUUACUGGGCGUAAAGGGUUCGUAGGUGGCCAACUAAGUCAGACGUGAAAUCCCUCAGCUUAACUGGGGAACUGCGUCUGAGACUGGAUGGCUCGAGUGCAGGAGAGGAACGCGGAAUUCCAGGUGUAGCGGUGAAAUGCGUAGAUAUCUGGAGGAACACCGGUGGCGAAGGCGGCGUUCUGGACUGCAACUGACACUGAUGAACGAAAGCCAGGGGAGCAAACGGG
rnacentral:rRNA from 1 species